UCCCACAACACGGAAUUAUGGGAGCUACAAGAUGAGAUUUGAGUGGGGACACAGAGCCAAACCAUAUCAUCCAGCGUCCAGGAAGAUUCAGGUCACUCAGACUUGAAGGAUGGUGUUGAAGAUUCUGCCACAUUGAUACAUAUCAGACAGACUUGCUCUUUAAAGACACCAAAGUGACUGGGCACGAUGGCUUACAUAGGUAAUCCCAGCACUUUGGGAGGCUGAGGCAGGAGGAUUGCUUGAAGCCAGGGGUUCGAGACCAGCUGGAGUGACAAAAUCUCAAGUAUUUUAACCAUCUCUUGAAAUGUUCUUGGGCCUCAGCCUAGGCACUAUGCCUAUAGAAACUAAUGGAUAAAGCAACCCUGCUUCUUUAAAGGCCUGGAGGCAAGUGCAAUCACGUUUAAUGCUGAAUAUGGCAAACUUAUUUUCCCUGUUGAAGCCAAGUAUCUGUGUGGAGGAUUAGUUGGAUGCAUGCUUCCAAAAGAAACCAGCUGUUCUUGUAAGUAAAGGCCUGCUGAAAGAAGAAACCAACCUAUUUAGCUUGGAGAAUAUGGGGGCACAGAUUGCCUUUUCCCAUCACCUGCCAGGAACACCAUGCACUUAUUUCAUCUCAAUGCAAGAUACAAGAUCUAGGAUCCAAAACACUAUUUUCUAUCACAAAGCCAGUUCUCACACCUUUUUCAGAUCAAAUGUUCCAGCCUCUUCAGAAAAGCUUAGAAAAUAGUCUUUCUUUCACUCCCCACCAGUCUUCAUUGUGACAUAUGUUGCAUAUCAUAACCCUUGGUACUGGAUGAAAGCUCCCAAUCUGAAUCAAGAACAGGUAAAGGUAAACAAAAAAUUGAGGCUAAAAGAAUCACUUAACCUGAACCACAUGGUAGGAAAAGCAUGCUAGAAUGGAAUAUCCAACCGGCUAUGGACAUUGUUUUUGGCAGACAAAUGAAUGGCCCCAUUAUAAAGGCAUCAGGGUUGGUGUAUUGUCCAACUCUAGGGGGCAACAUUGAAUUGUAUCCUAUCGUUAUGGUGCUCCCUGGAGUUCUGUAAACACAUAGGUCUGAGAGUGAUUAUCACAUGCCUAUCUUAUCCAGGGAAAUAAGGAGCAAAAUGGCCCAGAAGAAGAGAAAGAACAUUCUACCAAGUCACACGUAACCUACCAACAGUCCACAACUGCAAUUGAUUUCAUGCCCAACUCUUGCUACACCUAAGAUUUGCAUAACUUAGUACUGGGGAGGUUUUGGGGGAAACCAGAAUUCCACCUCUGAAGCCAAGCCAAAUCUUCAGUGACUGGAGACUGGGAAAGCUGCCUUUUUCAAAUUUAGUUUGUCUUUCCCAAUAGCACUUAAAGGACAAACGUGUUCUGUUCUGCAUCUUUGGAACUCACUAUUCAUGGUUAAGUCAUUGCCUUUGAGACUUUAUAAGGGCUAUUGGCAGUUUAGCUUUACAGUAAAUGUAGUGUAAUUUACACAAUAAAAUGCAGUCACUUGUUUAAUUACUUACCUCA
rnacentral:lncRNA from 1 species